rnacentral:rRNA from 1 species
GAUGAACGCUGGCGGCGUGCCUAAUACAUGCAAGUCGAGCGGAGAGGCGGAAGGGUGAGUAAUGACUAGGAAUCUGCCUGGUAGUGGGGGAUAACGUCCGGAAACGGGCGCUAAUACCGCAUACGAUAAGCUGAGCCUAGGUCGGAUUAGCUAGUUGGGGGGGUAAAGGCCUACCAAGGCGACGAGCCGUAACUGGUCUGAGAGGAGGAUCAGUCACACGGGAACUGAGACACGGUCCAGACUCCUACGGGAGGCAGCAGUGGGGAAUAUUGGCCAAUGGGCGAAAGCCUGCUCCAGCCAUGCCGCGUGUGUGAAGAAGUUCUUCGGAUGGUAAAGCCCUUUAAGUUGGGAGGCGUUACCAACAGAAUAAGCACCGGCUAACUUCGUGCCAGCAGCCGCGGUAAUUC